CGCUUCGAGAGCGUUUUGGAAAAGUUGCUGUACUUCGUAUUUUGGAGUUAUACACGGUGGAAGCUGAAUUUGUGAGCAUUACUCCUGCUCCCAUCAUCUCAAAGGUCCUUGCCCGUUGUCCCAGUUCAACAAGAGGAAUCUGCACAAAGGAAAAUCAGCAUCACACAUGUAAAUCCAGAGGACUGAUGGUGGUGAAAAAAGCACCACCAUGAGAAUGCUGAGACUGACUGCAAACUGGAGUUGGAGAUUCUAUGCACAUUUGGACUAUAUAGAUGUCAGCAUUUCAUUUAAAGCAGCAUCUGCAGUGAUUCACAAGGUAAUCCACAGCUGUCAUUGCAUUGGUGGUGGACCUGCCAAACAACAAUGCCUGCUGUGAUGACAAUGCCACCAUCCCUCCUCUCUCCUGCAGGAAACCCUAACGCACUUCAGCUGCUGCUUCCUUCUCCACUGCUACACACCCUAAAAUAAAAAACAAACACAUGACUACAAUUGUUUCUCUGCUGUAUAAAUGCUUUUAAAUACAACAGCUGGACAUGGCUUCUAGCUCUUUAAGAUGAUUCACCACAAAACAGAAUAACAUGACUGUCUGACUCAAGCUACAGAAAACUUUCUACAGUAGCUUUUAAACCCACAAUUUGCUUACAAGGAUACAAUAAUCAUAAAGCAAUUUCUGAUGCUGCUGUUAGAGGAUGUGAGCUGGAUUAGAAAAGAAAAUGUGUAAGUGCUGCCCUCGUGUGGCUUCCAGCUGAAACCAACCUGCACUUCAAAAGAAUUUUCCUGCAUUGAAACAAAUACGAUGCAUUUCAUUUUGCACACAGGAUCCUAUUAUUUGCAGAACUUCUGUAAUAAGUUUACAAUCCUAAAAUGACCCAGGUCUUAUUUGGAGGACAAUUUUCGGUCAGUUAAAAGUUCAACUAUUAAAGCCCAACUUGCCUUAAACCGACUCCAACAUUUCAGAAAUCUCAUGUCUUCAGUGAUGGCGUGAAAAGUGUAUUUUUGUCUAAUAUGUCAGGUUUAAAAGGUUAAAUCUUCCUGGUUUCCUUCUAAUGGAACAACACAUGAAUGAACAUGAUUACACAUCUAAAUUAACUUGUAUUUUCAGAUCUUGGAUUUCUUUGUCUGCAUCCAAAAAUGCCUACUUUUUAGACCUAAAAUAUUUUAUUUGACUGUGUUUAGGUUAAAAAUAAAAUAUAAUCAAAGAUUAGUCAUUGUUUCACCACUAUAUACACAGUCAAGGAAAACUAUCCAAAUUUGCAACGAUUUCUCAGAAUAAACUGAAAUUAAGUCACAGCAAUCUCUCUUGUAAAACACUGGUUUUAAUUUUAAAGAAAUAUGAAAAAUGUACUUAUUCAAAAGCACUUGAGUAAUUUAGAGAUUAAGGUUAAGCAAAUACAAUAUUAGAUGUAAUAUAGUUAACACCAACUGCACUGUAAACUUUUAAAGCUGUAUGAAGGACAGAUAAACCACAGAAACAAAGUUUUGGUUUUUUGGUUUGCUAAACAGAGCAUGGGGAGAACUAAAACUUUGAUUACAACUCUGAUAUAGAACUUUAAUUUACACUUGAUACAUUUUUGUGACUCCAUGUCUGCUAAUCAACAGAUGAUCCAUCAAUGACUCACAAAAUCCUCAACAACCCAUCUCAUUCACUUCUUCUGUGACGUGAUUUGUUCUAAACAACUUGUCUGUCACUGAAAGCAUUUUUAGUUUACCAAAGUAAUAACAUAUUUUAAGAAAUCUUUGUCC
ensembl:lncRNA